rnacentral:rRNA from 1 species
UGGGUGACCUGCCCUCAGCUCUGGGAUAAGCCCGGGAAACUGGGUCUAAUACCGGAUAUGAUCUCUCAUCGCAUGGUGAGGGGUGGAAAGUUUUUCGGCUGGGAUGGGCCCGCGGCCUAUCAGCUUGUUGGUGGGGUGAUGGCCUACCAAGGCGACGACGGGUAGCCGGCCUGGGAGGGCGACCGGCCACACUGGGACUGAGACACGGCCCAGACCUCCUACGGGAG